rnacentral:ncRNA from 1 species
CGAUGGAGAUAGGGGUGCUUGGUUGCGCUUUGCUCUUGUGGCAAACCAAUCCGGCUGAGAUGAAACCCUUAGCGACCUGAUCCGGGUAAUGCCGGCGUAGGAAAUCAUCUGAGAAGUCUU